UACGGGGGGAGCAAGCGUUGUUCGGAUUUACUGGGCGUAAAGGGCGCGUAGGCGGCCACUGCAAGUCAGUUGUGAAAUCUCCGGGCUUAACCCCGGAAAGGUCAACUGAUACUGCAGGGCUAGAGUGCAGAAGGGGCAACUGGAAUUCUCGGUGUAGCGGUCGAAAUGCGUAGAUAUCGAGAGGAACACCUGCGGCGAAGGCGGGUUGCUGGGCUGACACUGACGCUGAGGCGCGAAAGCCAGGGGAGCGAACGGG
rnacentral:rRNA from 1 species